rnacentral:rRNA from 1 species
AGAGUUUGAUCCUGGCUCAGGAUGAACGCUGGCGGCGUGCUUAACACAUGCAAGUCGAACGGAAAGGCCCUUCGGGGUACUCGAGUGGCGAACGGGUGAGUAACACGUGGGUGAUCUGCUCUGCACUUUGGGAUAAGCCUGGGAAACUGGGUCUAAUACCGAAUAUGACCAUGCACUUCCUGGUGUGUGGUGGAAAGCUUUUGCGGUGUGGGAUGGGCCCGCGGCCUAUCAGCUUGUUGGUGGGGUAAUGGCCUACCAAGGCGACGACGGGUAGCCGGCCUGAGAGGGUGACCGGCCACACUGGGACUGAGAUACGGCCCAGACUCCUACGGGAGGCAGCAGUGGGGAAUAUUGCACAAUGGGCGCAAGCCUGAUGCAGCGACGCCGCGUGAGGGAUGACGGCCUUCGGGUUGUAAACCUCUUUCAGCACAGACGAAGCGCAAGUGACGGUAUGUGCAGAAGAAGGACCGGCCUACUACGUGCCAGCAGCCGCGGUAAUACGUAGGGUCCGAGCGUUGUCCGGAAUUACUGGGCGUAAAGAGCUCGUAGGUGGUUUGUCGCGUUGUUCGUGAAAACUCACAGCUUAACUGUGGGCGUGCGGGCGAUACGGGCAGACUUGAGUACUGCAGGGGAGACUGGAAUUCCUGGUGUAGCGGUGGAAUGCGCAGAUAUCAGGAGGAACACCGGUGGCGAAGGCGGGUCUCUGGGCAGUAACUGACGCUGAGGAGCGAAAGCGUGGGGAGCGAACAGGAUUAGAUACCCUGGUAGUCC